AACAGCCAAUAAAAGAUGACUACAUCAUAGAGCACUUAUGAUGUUAUGUAACAUCACCAAGGUAGCCAGAAGGAUGAUGAUAAAUAAGGGCAGGGGACUGGAAGAGAAUGUCUAAAUAAGAAAAAAACUAGGUAAGACAUGUGUUAUGGCUCAGAGGGUGGAAGUUUGAUAAUUCUGGAAUUGUGUGCUAUGGGGUAGUUUGCUGUGGAUUAUUUAGUUGUGGAAUGGUUUGCUAUGAAUUGAUGCUUUCUGAUAUAGAAAUUUUUCUUAAUCUCUUGAAGAAUUCACUGAUAUUUUUCAAUAGUGGCCCAAGAUUACAGAAAUCUAAAAUGUAUCUCUGAAGUUUUGUCCAGCUUCAAAGAGACUUGACAUUGUUGAGGAAUCUAUAAAUAUUAUAAGAUGCUAUAGUAGGUUCCAGGGGGAAAGCAUAGCAUAACCAUUAUCUUCUGAUGUAUUUUUAGUUUCAUAGUAUUUUCUCUAUUUUAGUCAUUUAUCUAGUGAACAAAUCUAACAAUGUCAUUAAGGAAUGAGGAAGAGGGAAAAUUAAUGGAAAUUUCUCUUUUUCUCCAUAUUAAUAUUUAUUAGCAUAAAUGUGUCCAUAUAGAGACCUACCAGUACAUAUACAUGUAUAACUAUAAACACAUAUUGACACUCAGAUACACAUCAAGAUAUGUACCAUAUAUCUAUUUUAUGUAAAUAUAAGUAUAUAUGCAUAUAUUUAUAUGUUUUGGUGGUUUUUUAGUAAUUUCAUUUGUCUGACAGGUUGUUGUUUUUUUGGGUUUUUUGCAAAGAUACUGAAUUGGUUUUUCAAAUUCAUUUUAUAGAUGAGGAAACUGAAGCAAACAUGGUUGAGUGACUUGCCUGGGUCACAUGACAAGUAAAUAUCUGAGGCUCUAUCUAAGGCUCUGCCUUAUCUAGGGACUAUAUUUUCCCUGUGCAAGGAUUAUGAUACUUUUUAAUUUUCUCUGACAAAAAUGACUCAAAGAAGAGUACAGAAAAUAGAUUUAUUUUCUUCUAAAAUAGAGAAAGGCAAAAAUGAACGAGGGCGCUGUACUCAUAUUUUCUUUGAUUUAGACAAGGAGGAAAAGGAACCAAAUGUUGCUAUUACUGAAAAUGCUGAAGGAGAUGCAGCCCACAAAUAUGGAUGGAUUGAAACUGGACGAGAACCAUCUGAAGUCAAGACAGAAAGCAUCAUAGUCCUUGAGGCAUCAGAGAAAAGGAAGAAAAAUUUUACAGAUUCAGUCACUUUUCAGGAAGAAGUUGGAGAUAUCACAGUUAUGAAAGGAGAAGGAAAAAAUUAUAAAACUGCAACAAUAUCAGGACUCUGGAUCACUAGAGAACUGGAAUUUGUUGUUGUGGAAUUGAAAAAAUUAAUAGAAGAAGAAGAUCUGAAAAGUACAAAAAAACUCCAAGCUAUCUAUGACAAGACUAACAACUUAAAAGACAAACUUACAAAAUGUAUGAAUAUAUCUGAAGUGAAUAUGGAACACCAACCUGAUGAUAAAGACAAAGAAAUAUUUUCACCAGGGCAAAUCAAACAGGAACCUAAUCAGACUGAUCAAAAAUUAUCACCAGAGCAAAUACAACAGAAACCCAAUGAGAUAAAGGAUCAAAUUGUUUUAGAAUGGGGAAAAUUAGAAGACCAACCUGAAAAGAAUGAGAAAGGAGAAUUAUUACUAGGACAAUUUAAAAUAAAGCCUAAAGAGAUAAAAAAUGAAGAUAUAUCACCAGGGCAAUUAUUAGCCCCAGGGGAUUUCAUUUCAGAUAUCAGAAUUGAAAAAAAAGAACAAGGAGAAGAAUCUCUAGUAGAGGAAGAGAUUAGCAGUGACAGACCUACAGAGGAAAAGGCUCCAAGGAGGUUUUCCUGGUUCCGCAACAUCCAAGGAUACAAUUGGCGAAACUUCUUUUAUUUUAAAAGACAUGAUGAACAAAUAAAGAAUGUUUACAAGCAGGAAAAAACUGAUCUAAAAAUAUUGGAUGAUGCCUCUGCUCCUUUUGGUACCCCAAAGCCAUUGGUGUCAGAGUGGACAAUAAACCAAGUUGGUCUUUGGUUAGCAAGCAUUGGAAUGAAAAAAUAUUCCCUGAGAUUUGAUUAUAAUAGAAUAAAUGGCCUAGAACUCCUUGAACUGGAUAACGAUGAGCUAAAAUAUAUUGGUAUUGAGAAGAGAGAAGAUCGGAUGAAAAUACUUUAUGGUAUUAAGAAAAUUCAAAAGACAGAAAAAGAAUUAAUACACUUUAACAAUGAAAUUUAUCGAAAGAAGAGACAACACCUGAAAGAAAUGGCUAAAAGAGAAAAAUGUGAUUAGUUCUGUAAUAUUUACUUUUAAUCAUUUCACUUCUACAUAAUAUCGUUUUGGGAGAGAAUAAUUUUGCCUAGGUUAAAAAUUGUUAGUAUCAUACACACAACACGUAUUACACAUACUAUACUGUGUUUCUGAAUAAAUUGAUUAGAAUAUAAGAAUAUGGUCUUAUU
rnacentral:lncRNA from 1 species